rnacentral:rRNA from 2 species
UGCCAGUGAUAAACUGGAGGAAGGUGGGGAUGACGUCAAGUCAUCAUGGCCCUUACGACCAGGGCUACACACGUGCUACAAUGGCAUAUACAAAGAGAAGCGACCUCGCGAGAGCAAGCGGACCUCAUAAAGUAUGUCGUAGUCCGGAUUGGAGUCUGCAACUCGACUCCAUGAAGUCGGAAUCGCUAGUAAUCGUAGAUCAGAAUGCUACGGUGAAUACGUUCCCGGGCCUUGUACACACCGCCCGUCACACCAUGGGAGUGGGUUGCAAAAGAAGUAGGUAGCUUAACCUUCGGGAGGGCGCUUACCACUUUGUGAUUCAUGACUGGGGUGAAGUCGUAACAAGGUAACCGUAG